rnacentral:rRNA from 1 species
UACGAAGGGGGCUAGCGUUGCUCGGAAUCACUGGGCGUAAAGGGUGCGUAGGCGGGUCUUUAAGUCAGGGGUGAAAUCCUGGAGCUCAACUCCAGAACUGCCUUUGAUACUGAGAGUCUCGAGUCCGGGAGAGGUGAGUGGAACUGCGAGUGUAGAGGUGAAAAUUCGUAGAUAAUUCGCAAGAACACCAGUGGCGAAGGCCGGCUCACUGGCCCGGUACUGACGCUGAGGUGGCGAAAGCGUGGGGAGC